rnacentral:rRNA from 1 species
GAUGAACGCUGGCGGCGUGCCUAAUACAUGCCAGUCGAGCGAACAGAUCAGGAGCUUGCUCCUUUGACGUUAGCGGCGGACGGGUGAGUAACACGUGUGUAACCUACCUAUAAGACUGGUAUAACCCCGGGAAACCGGGGCUAAUGCCGGAUAAGAUUUAGAACCGUAUGGUUCUAAAGAGAAAGUUGGUUGUGCUAUCACUUAUAGAUGGACCCGCGCCGUAUUAGCUAGUUGGUAAGGUAACGGCUUACCAAGGCAACGAUUCGUAGCCGACCUGAGGGGCGGAUCGGCCACACUGGAACUGAGACGCGGUCCAGACUCCUACGGGAGGCAGCAGUAGGGAAUCUUCCGCAAUGGGCGAAAGCCUGACGGAGCAGCGCCGCGUGAGUGAUGGAGGUCUUCGGAUCGUAAAACUCUGUUAUUAGGGAAGAACAAAUGUGUAAGUAACUGUGCACGUCUUGACGGUACCUAAUCAGAAAGCCACGGCUAACUACGUG